rnacentral:sRNA from 1 species
AUGUACCACUCGCAUACUCCGGUUCUGAGCGCGCGCUCCACACCCACCUGGCGACUGCUCGCUACGUUUUGUCAGCU